rfam:Tetragenococcus halophilus NBRC 12172 DNA, complete genome.
AGAGUGUUAUGAUGUUGGAAAUAUUUUUUUCCGAGUCUAGCUCAGCACUGCUCCCUGAAUUACCAGGGAGC